GAUGAACGCUGGCGGCGUGCCUAAUACAUGCAAGUCGAGCGAACGGACGAGAAUCUUGCUUCUCUGAUGUUAGCGGCAGACGGGUGAGUAACACGUGUAUAACCUACCUAUAAGUCUGGGAUAACUUCGGGAAACCGGAUCUAAUACCGGAUAAUAUUCUGAACCGCAUGGUUCAAAAGUGAAAUACGGUCUUGCUGUCACUUAUAGAUGGAUCCGCGCUGCAUUAGCUAGUUGUUACGUUAACGGCUUACCAAGGCAACGAUGCAUAGCCGACGUGACAGGGUGAUCGGCCACACGGGAACUGGAACACGGUCCAUACUCCUGCGGGAGGCAGCAGAAGGGAAUCGUCCGCAGUGGUCGAAAGCAUGGCGGAGCAAGGCCGCGUGAGUGAUGACGGUGUUCGGAUCGUAAAACUCUGUUAUUAGGUGAGAACAUAUGUGUAAGUAGCUGUGCACAUCUUGACGGUACCUAAUCAGAAAGCCACGGCUAACUACGUG
rnacentral:rRNA from 1 species